GAUAUAAGCUCAAACAACAUCUUAAUAGAUAAAAAAAAUGGAGCAUAUUUGAUUGACUUUGGUCUGUGCACAUCCGAACGCAGUCCAACAGACUUCUGCGGCACUCUGUUCUAUUUAUGCCCAGAAAUUCUUCAACAGACAGAAUACGGUAAGAAAUGUUACUUACAUUCAAUGAAUUUUUUAUUUCUUUUUUUUAUUGGUGAAAUCAAUGUAUGGCUUACAGACGCUUACUGCGAUUGGUGGGCGUUUGGAGUUGUAUUAUACCAGAUUUUGGUUGGCAAAACUCCAAUGGACGUUUAUCUGGAAACACUUAUGUCCUUGGAAGAUUUCCAGACAUUGCCGAUAACGGAACAAAUCAAAAUUGCUGAAGAAGUGGAGUUGACGUAUUCUUUUGAACUACCGCAGGAUGCCAAAGAAAUAAUCCAG